rnacentral:rRNA from 1 species
UACGAAGGGUGCAAGCGUUACUCGGAAUUACUGGGCGUAAAGCGUGCGUAGGUGGUUCGUUAAGUCUGAUGUGAAAGCCCUGGGCUCAACCUGGGAAUGGCAUUGGAAACUGGCGACCUAGAGUGCGGUAGAGGGUAGUGGAAUUCCCGGUGUAGCAGUGAAAUGCGCAGAUAUCAGGAAGAACACCCGUGGCGAAGGCGGCUCUCUGGUACGUGACUGACGCUGAGACGCGAAAGCGUGGGGAGCGAACAGG